rnacentral:lncRNA from 1 species
AACUAGAAGUAGAGAAACAAUGUGGGAAAAGUAUCAAAGUUGUAAGGUCUAACCGUGAUGGUGAGUACUAUGUGAAAUAUGAUGAGUUUGGUCAAAAUAUGGGUAAUUUUGCAAAGUUUUUACAAGAGUGUGGAAUAGUGCCCCAAUACACCGUGCCAGGGACACCUGAGCAGAAUGAUGUUUCUGAAAGACGUAAUCGAACUCUAAAAGAUAUGGUUAGAAGUAUGAUGAGUAGAACAAAUUUGCCUGAAUAUUUGUGGGAUGAAGCCUUGAAAACAGCUAUGUAUAUUUUGAACAGAGUUCCAAGUAAAGUUGUUUCAAAGACACCUUUUGAAUUAUGGACAGGACGUAAGCCAAGUUUGGCCUACUUUAAAGUUUGGGGAUGUCCAGCUGAGGUUAGAAUUUAUAAUCCAUUUGAAAAGAAAUUCGACCCUAAAUCAACUCCUGACUACUUUAUUGGGUAUCCGGAUAGAUCAAAGAGAUAUAAGUUUUACUGUCCAAAUCGCGGUACUAGAAUUGUAGAGUCCAUUACUGCUAAGUUUCUGGAGAACAAUUUUGGAGAUAGUGGGAGUUCCACGUUGAGAGAAAUUCUUGUUGAAC